AACAUAACUUAAUCACAAAAUCCGUCCCUCUCUCUCCUCUCUAAAUUUGUGAGUCACCAAACUCACCCUAGCCAUCCUCACAAUAAAUCCUAAGCGGUUUCCCGAUCAUCAUCAAGAUCAUUACGUCUUCCCUUACUACGGUUAUUGCAUUAUCAGAUGAUGGGGAAGAUCUAUUCAUGGUCUUGUGGCAAACGGAGUCUGGAUUUCUAAACCUUCUCUGAUUAAGAAAGAGGUUUUCUGCUUCGUUAGAGACAAAUUCGUGGAGGAUUGUGCUUGUCGUCCUCGUUUAGUCAGUUCUUGUUUAACCAGAUAUCUUCGUCCACUGCUGUCGAUCUUGAGAAGAGGUUUUUGAAGGAGGAAACUAAGGCUGCUGUUUUCGGAUGUGGCGAAGACCGGGCUCCCGGGCCUGACUGCUUUAAUUUCAAAUUUUUUAACCGGGUUGUUAAUUAGUCUUUGGAUGGAAUGUGAUUAUAUAAUAAGUUAUUUCGUUGGAGUGUGAGCAAAUUGUUACUCCAUCAACGGUCCUCGUAGGCUCAUAGCCUUUGUUGCGUAUCUAGAAUGUGUGGAGGAAUUUUUAGAAAAUAGGAUGAUCAUAGAGGCGUGUAUUCACUCUCAGAUCAAAUUAUUUCGGUGGUUCUCCCUGUGACAACCCUCACCAAACCAGGUCGUUACGCAGCAGGUUGACUGGGAGAUUACUAUUUCGAGACGCACUUCAGUGAGUUCAUGUCCCCCUUUUCUCUUAACUGUUUUCAGUUUUUAAACUGCGGGGGUGAAAUACAUGUUACUAUGAUUACAAAUACUUUUUACAUGGUAUGGUUAGCGUAAGGAGGGUUACUACUUAGAUCAUGUGAGUGGGUAGGCGGGAACUGGAGGCCAUUAAUCCUCAUUGUAGGACCGAGGGUCUUUAGCGGUAGAUCUAUCUGGGUGUAGCGAGCCCAGCCCCAGGCCCAACAGUACGGACCUCGGGGUGACUUGGUACCCGACGCAAAAAUCUGCUAGGUUUGAGUCUUCCUACUGCACUUCACACAUAUCAAUGCGCAUCGGCGUGACUUUGACGGUACCGGAGGUGCUGUUGCUUUUGUCAGAUGGGCCGAGAAGACGGAAACUGUUCUCCGAAUGAGCAAGUGCGCUCCAGACCAACAAGUUACUUACAUCUCUGGGCUAUUCUUGGACGGAGCCCUGUCCUGGUGGAACUUACAAGUUCAAACUCUUGGUGAAGCCGCUGCAUAUGCAAUGACAUGGAACGAGUUGAAAGAGCUUAUGCGAAGAAAGUAUUGCUCUCGCGCUGAAAUUCAAAAGUUGGAAACUGAGUUUUGGUAUCUGAAGAUGGAAGGACCCAAAAUCGCGGAGUAUGUUCAAAGGUAUCACGACCUGUCUCAUGUGGUACCCUAUAUGGUUACACCAGAAUUCAAACGCAUCGAGUGCUUUAUUUGGGGUUUAGCUCCACAGAUCAUGAGUAUGGUCACUACUUCAAAGCCUGCGACAACCACCGAGGCAAUCGAUCUGAGCGUAGCUCUUACUGAGGAGGCCAUCCGUUUGAACAAGUUUUCAGAUGUU
rnacentral:lncRNA from 1 species